rnacentral:lncRNA from 10 species
ACCUGGCCCAGUUCCCUGGGAUACAUGUGUUUUAAUUCAUUUUCUGUUGCUAGUAACAGAAUACCUGAAACUGGGUAAUUUAUAAGGAAAAGAAAUUUAUUUCUUACAGUGAUGGAGGUUGAGAAGUCCAACUUCAAGGCACCACAUCUGGUGAGAGCCUUCAUUCCGAUGACAGCCUUCAUGCUGGUGGCAAUAGCUAAUACAUUUGCCUUUAAAUUUGUUUGACAAACACCACCCUGGAAGUAGCCUCAACUCUGGGGAAGCUCCAAGACAGGUAAAAUACAGCAACCUGCAGCAGGAAAAUGGGCUUCAGUUUUCAAGUCUGCAGCUGAGUUGGGAAGUUGCGGACAGUAACC